GACGAACGCUGGCGGCGUGCUUAACACAUGCAAGUCGAACGGAAAGGCCCUGCUUUUGUGGGUGCUCGAGUGGCGAACGGGUGAAUAACACGUGAGUAACCUGCCCUUUACUUUGGGAUAACUUCAGGAAACUGGGGCUAAUACCGGAUAGGAGCUCCUUCUUCAUGGGGGGGGUUGGAAAGUUUCGGCGGUUGGGGAUGGACUCGCGGCUUAUCAGCUUGUUGGUGGGGUAGUGGCUUACCAAGGCUUUGACGGGUAGCCGGCCUGAGAGGGUGACCGGCCACAUUGGGACUGAGAUACGGCCCAGACUCCUACGGGAGGCAGCAGUGGGGAAUAUUGCACAAUGGGCGGAAGCCUGAUGCAGCAACGCCGCGUGCGGGAUGACGGCCUUCGGGUUGUAAACCGCUUUCGCCUGUGACGAAGCGUGAGUGACGGUAAUGGGUAAAGAAGCACCGGCUAACUACGUG
rnacentral:rRNA from 1 species